AUGGCCUCGGGUGACACCCUCUACAUCGCCACAGAUGGCUCAGAGAUGCCGGCCGAGAUCAUGGAGCUGCACGAGAUCGAGGUGGAGACCAUCCCAGUGGAGACCAUGGAGACCACGGUGGUGGGUGAGGAGGAGAAGGAGAACGAUGACUACAAGGACAGUGGUGGCAGCAACCACGGGCAAGCUGUGCACCACCACCACCACCAUCACCACCACCACCACCCACCCAUGAUCACGCUGCAGCCUCUGGUCACUGACUACCCGACCCAAGUGCACCACCACCAGGAGGUGAUCCUGGUGCAGACGCACGAGGAGGUGGUGGGCAGCGAUGACUUGGACUGGCUGCGCACCGAGGACGUCUUCAAGGACCAGAUCCUCAUCCUGGUGCCCGCCCCGGCCGGCAGCAACAACGACUACAUCGAGCAGACGCUGGUCACUGUGGCAGCGGCUGGCAAGAGCAGCAACGGCGGCUAGUCCUCAUCAGGCGGUGGCAGCGUGAAGAAGGGCGGCGGCAAAAAGAGUGGCAAGAAGAGUUACCUGAGCGGCGGGGCUGGCGCGGCAGGUGGUGGUGGCUCCGACCCAGGCAACAAGAAGUGAGAGCAGAAGCAGGUGCAGAUCAAGACCCUGGAGGGCGAGUUCUCGGUCACCAUGUGGUCCUCAGAUGAAAAAAAAGAUAUUGACCACGAGACAGUGGUUGAAGAACAGAUCAUUGGUGAGAACUCACCUCCUGAUUAUUCAGAAUAUAUGACAGGAAAAAAACUUCCUCCUGGAGGAAUACCUGGCAUUGCCCUCUCAGAUCCCAAACAACUGGCAGAAUUUGCUAGAAUGAAGCCAAGAAAAAUUAAAGAAGACGAUGCUCCUAGAACAAUAGCUUGCCCUCAUAAAGGCUGCACAAAGACGUUCAGGGAUAACUCGGCCAUGAGAAGACAUCUGCACACCCACAGUCCCACAGUCCACGUCUGUGCAGAAUGUGGCAAAGCUUUUGUUGAGAGUUCAAAACUAAAAUGACACCAACUGGUUCAUACUGGAGAGAAGCUCUUUCAGUGCACGUUCGAAGGCUGUGGGAAACGCUUUUCACUGGACUUCAAUUUGAGUGCACAUGUGCAAAUCCAUACCGGAGACAGGCCCUAUGUCUGCCCCUUCGAUGGUUGUAGUAAGAAGUUUGCUCAGUCAACUAACCUGAAAUCUCACAUCUUAACACGUGCUAAGCCCAAAAACAACCAGUGAAAAGAAGAAAGAAGACCCUCCUCGACCACGGGAAGCAUCUUCCAGGAGUGUGAUUGGGAAUAAAUAUGCCUCUCCUUUGCAUAUUAUUUCUAGGAAGAAUUUUAAAAAUGAAUCCUACACACCUAAGGGACAUGUUUUGAUAAAGUAGUAAAAAUUAAAAAAAAAAAAACUUUACUUAGAUGACAUUGCUAAGAUGUUCUAUCUUGCUCUGUAAUCCCGUUUCAAAAACACGGUGUUUUUGUAAGUGUGGUCCCAACAGGAGGACAAUUCGUGAACUUUGCAUCAAAAGACAAUUCUUUAUACAACAGUGCUAAAAAUGGGACUUCUUCUUACAUUCUUAUAAAUAUGAAGCUCACCGGUUGCUUACAAUUUUUUUAAUUUUGUAUUUUCCAAGUGUGCAUAUUGUACAGUUUUGGGGGGAUAUGCUUAGUAAUGCUAUGUGUGAUUUUUCCGGAGGUUGAUAACUUUGCUUGCAGUAGAUUUUCUUUAAAAGUAUGGGCAGUAACAUGCAUAUUUCAAAAUUAUUUUCCUGUAAAAAAAAAAGUUAUAUAGGUUUUGUUUGCUAUCUUAAUUUUGGUUGUAUUCUUUGAUGUUAAAAGCAUUUUGUUUAAUUGUAUCGUAUAGCUGUAUUGAAUCAUGUAGUAUCAAAUAUUAGCUGUGAUUUAAUAGUGUUAAUCAAAUUUAAACCCAUUUUAGUCACUUUUUUUUUCCAAAAAAUACUGCCAGAUGCUGAUGUUCAGUGUAACUUCUUUGCCUGUUCAGUUACAGAAAGUGGUGCUCAGUUGUAUAAUGUAUUGUACCUUUUAACACCUGAUGUGUACAUCCCAUGUAACAGAAAGGGCAUGGGAUACAAUAAAACAGCGAUCCUAAAGCGA